rnacentral:rRNA from 1 species
ACUCCUACGGGAGGCAGCAGUAGGGAAUCUUCCACAAUGGGCGCAAGCCUGAUGGAGCAACACCGCGUGAGUGAAGAAGGGUUUCGGCUCGUAAAGCUCUGUUGUUAAAGAAGAACACGUAUGAGAGUAACUGUUCAUACGUUGACGGUAUUUAACCAGAAGGUCACGGCUAACUACGUGCCAGCAGCCGCGGUAAUACGUAGGUGGCAAGCGUUAUCCGGAUUUAUUGGGCGUAAAGAGAGUGCAGGCGGUUUUCUAAGUCUGAUGUGAAAGCCUUCGGCUUAACCGGAGAAGUGCAUCGGAAACUGGAUAACUUGAGUGCAGAAGAGGGUAGUGGAACUCCAUGUGUAGCGGUGGAAUGCGUAGAUAUAUGGAAGAACACCAGUGGCGAAGGCGGCUACCUGGUCUGCAACUGACGCUGAGACUCGAAAGCAUGGGUAGCGAACAGGAUUAGAUACCCUGGUAGGAUAGCG